AGUGAACGCUGGCGGCGUGCCUAACACAUGCAAGUCGAACGGGCUAGUGCUUCGCACUAGUCUCUUUCUGGGGUUGUUACCUUAGAGCUGCCUACUGAAGUUGUUGCUUUAAAGCAGGGGUUUUUAGGGGACCUUCCCCCAAAGGGGCCAGUGCGGAGCACUGGCUAGUGGCGAACGGGUGAGUAACACGUGGGUAAUCUGCCCUCGAGUGGGGAAUAAGCUUCCGAAAGGGGGUCUAAUGCCGCAUAACGUUUCAUAACGAUGGUUAUGAAACCAAAGCCCAAAAGGCGCUCGAGGAGGAGCCUGCGUCCUAUCAGCUUGUUGGCAGGGUAAUGGCCUACCAAGGCUAUGACGGGUAGCCCGGGCCUGAGAGGGUGUCCGGCCACACUGGAACUGAGACACGGUCCAGACUCCUACGGGAGGCAGCAGUGGGGGAUAGUUGGGCAAUGGGGGAAACCCUGACCCAGCAACGCCGCGUGAAGGAAGAAGGUUUCGGAUUGUAAACUUCUGUCCUUGGUGAAGAGAAGAAGACGGUAGACCG
rnacentral:rRNA from 1 species